CGGGGCCAGGCUGGAGUCAGGCUGCGGGGCCGGACCGCAGCUGCGGGUCGGGGCGCCGUGCGCGUGCGCGUGCGCGUGCGCGCGGCAGGUCGGCGCCGGGCGGGGGCGGAGCGACAGUCGCAGGCCCACGCCGUAAACAGACAACAUGGCGGCCGCGGUGGCGAUGGCACCUGGGACAUUGGGAUCCCUUCAUGCUGGCGGCGUCCGCCUAGUAGCUGCUUGCAAUGCGUGGCUCUGCCAGGGGUUGAGGCUUCCCGGCUCGUUGGCAGGCCGGCGGGUGGGCCCGGCGAUCUGGGCCCAGAGCUGGGUGCCUGUGGCCGGGGGUCCCGCACCAAGAAGGGGCUACAGCUCUGAGGUGAAGACGGAGGACGAACUACGGGUGCGGCACCUGGAGGACGAGAACCGAGGAAUUGUGGUGCUUGGAAUAAACAGAGCUUAUGGCAAAAAUUCACUCAGUAAAAAUCUUAUAAAAAUGCUAUCAAAAGCUGUGGAUGCUUUGAAAUCUGAUAAGAAAGUACGGACCAUAAUAAUCAGGAGUGAAGUCCCAGGGAUAUUCUGUGCUGGUGCUGACCUUAAGGAAAGAGCCAAAAUGAGUUCCAGUGAAGUUGGUCCUUUUGUCUCCAAAAUAAGAGCAGUGAUUAAUGAUAUUGCUAAUCUUCCAGUGCCAACGAUUGCAGCAAUAGAUGGACUCGCUUUAGGUGGUGGUCUUGAACUGGCUUUAGCUUGUGAUAUACGAGUAGCAGCCCUGAGAGCACGCACUUGGGAGCACUGGAGGAAACUGGAGAAGAGAGAGUCUUCCUCUGCAAAAAUGGGCCUGGUUGAAACAAAAUUGGCAAUUAUUCCUGGUGGAGUGACUUCCUUCACUGAAGUCUUGAAUCUCUCCAAGUCAUCCAUGAAGAUUGGAAUCAUCUUCUUCCAGACUCCUGUUAAUAUUGAUAUUCUGGCCUCUUCCCAUGACUCAUGAAUGUUCUUAAAGGCAUCUAGAAUGGCACUCCUUUCCAUAAGGUUUUCAAUUUAAUUGGCCCAGAUCCCUAAGAGGAAUCACUAUGUAUGACAGCUAUAGCCUUAUGAAAUGUGUGGGUUUUUUUUUUUUUUUUUUUCGAGACAGAGUCUUGCUCUGUUACCAGGCUGGAGUGCAGUGGCAUGAUCUCGGCUCAGUGCAACCUCCACCUCCCAGGUUCAAGCAAUUCUUCUGCCUCAGCCUCCUGAGUAGCUGGGACUACAGGCACGCGUCACCACGCUCAGCUAAUUUUUGUAUUUUUAGUAGAUGCAGGGUUUCACCAUGUAGGCCAAGAUGGUCUCGAUCUCUUGACCUCGUGAUCCACCUGCCUUGGCCUCCUAAAGUGCUGGGAUUACAGGUAUGAGCCACUGUGCCUGGCCUGAAUUUUGUCUCUUAAAAUAUAAGACUUGAAAGUAGACUGAUCCAUGGGCUGUGGAAUGGUUGUUAAGUUAUCAGGCAUGAAAACAACAUUCAUCUCCUUGUCCAUCUCUGUCAGAGAUCUUGGGUAACCAGGAUACUGUCACUGAGCCAUAAUAUUUUGAAAGAACUCUUUUUUUUUUGAGCAGUAGGUCUUGGCAGUGGGCUUAAAAUAUUCAGUAAACCAUGCUGUAAACCACAUGUGCUGUGAUCCAGGUUUAAUUUUUCCAUUUAUAGAGCACAAGCAGAGUUAAUUUAGUGUAGUUCUUAAGGUCUCUAGAAGUUUGGACAUGAUAAAUGAGCAGUGGCUUUAACUAAAAGCCACCAGCUGCAUUAGUCCCUAACAAGAGAGUCAGUCUGUCCUUUGAAGCUUUGAAGUCAGGCAUUGGCUUCUCUUCUGUAGCUAUGAGAGUCCUAGAUAACAUUUUCCAGUAGUAGGCUGUUUUGUCUGUUCAGUGUAGGCACCUUCAUCAUUGAUCUUAGCUAGAUCUUGUGGAUAAUUUGCUGCAGCUUCUACAUCAGCACAUGCUGCUUCACCUUGCACUUUUAUGCCAUGGGAGGUGGCUUCUUUCCUUAAACCUCAUGAACCAGCCUCUUCUAGCUUCCAACCUUUCUUCUGUAGUUUCCUCACUUCUCUCAGACUUAACUCCAGAGUUAAAGAGAGUUAGGGCCUUGCUCUGGAUUAGGCUUUGGCUUAAGGGAAUGUUGUGACUUGUUUGAUCUUCUUUACUUACCGUAAAACUUUCUCCCUAUCAGCAAUAAGGCUAUUUUGCUCCCUUGUUAUUCCUGUAUUCAUGUGAGUAGCACUUCUAACUACCUUCAGGAAAUUUUGCUUUGCAUUGGCAACUUAGCUAACUGGUGCAGGAGGCCUAGCUUUUGGCUGAUCUCAUCUUUUGACAUGCCUUCCUUACUAAACUUAAUCAUUUCUAGCUUUUGAUUUCCAGUGAGAGACAUGUGGAUCUUUGCUCUACUUGAACACUGCAGAAGCCAUUGGAGGGUUAUUCAUUGGACUAAUUUCAAUACUGUUGUGUCUCAGGGAAUAGAGAGCCAAGGAAAGGGAGAGAGGUGGGGGAACAGCCAGUUGGUGGAACAGUCAGAAUACGUGCAUUUAUUGGUUAAGUUUGCCAUCUUUGGUGGGCAUAGUUCAUGGUCCCCCAAAGCAAUUAGAGUAGUAUCAUCAAAGAUUAAUGUUCACAGGUUACCGUAAGAGAUAAAAUAAUGAAAAGGUUUGAAAUAUUGUGAGAAUUACUGAAAUGUGGCUCAGACAUGAACUAAGCACAUGAUGUGGGAAAAAAUGGUGCCAAUAGUCUUGCUUGAUACAGGGUUACCAUUAAUUUGUAAAAAUGCAGUUUUUGUGAAGUACAAUAAAGGGAAGCAAAAUAAAAUGAGGUAUGCCUGUAUGCCCUAUUUUUAGCUUAUGUAGGCAGUGAAGAUGGUGAUUCUUAAGUUUUUUUUUUUUUUGAGAUGGAGUUUCGCUCUUGUUACCCAGACUGGAGUGCAAUGGCGCGAUCUCAGCUCACCGCAACCUCCGCCUCCUGGGUUCAGGCAAUUCUCCUGCCUCAGCCUCCUGAGUAGCUGGGAUCACAGGCACGUGCCACCAUGCCCAGCUAAUUUUUUGUAUUUUUAGUAGAGACGGGGUUUCACCAAAUUGACCAGGAUGGCCUCGAUCUCUUGACCUCGUGAUCCACCCGCCUCGGCCUCCCAAAGUGCUGGGAUUACAGGUUUGAGCCACCGUGCCCAGCCUUUUCUUAAGUUUUAAAUUACUGUUCUAAAUUACUGUUGUCACUGUUUGGAUCUGUUUUCCUAAAGGAUUACACAAACAUUUUGAAGCUUUUAUGAGUGCCUUUUUAAAAAUUUAUUAUUAUUUUUUUGAGACAGAGUCUCACUCCAUCACCUAGGCUGGAGUGCAGUGGCGCCAUCUUGGCUCACUGCAACCUCCACCUCCUGGGUUCAGGCGAUUGUCCUGCUUCAGCCUCCCGAGUAGCUGGGAUUAUAGGCAUGUGCCACCAUAACCAGCUACUCUUUAGUAUUUUUAAUGGAGAUGGGGUUUCACCAUAUUGACCAGGCUGGUUGUGAAUUCUUGACCUUGUGAUCCACCACCUUGGCCUCCCAGAGUGCCAGGAUUACAGGUGUGAGCCACCGUGCCCAGCCUUAUGAAUGCAUUUAAAUGUCUGUAUCCUCAUCAACAGCUUCAUGCAGACGGUGAAACCCCAAGUGGAAGAAGAAGAGAGGUGGCCGGGUACCACGGCUCACGCCCGUAAUCCCAGCAUUUUGGGAGGCUGAGGCACUGGAUCAGUUGAGGUCAGGAAUUUAAAACCAGCGUGGCCAACAUGGCAAAACCCCAUCUCUACUAAAAAUAAAAUAAUUAGCUAGGUGUCAUGGUGUGAGCCUGUAAUCCCAGCUCCUUGGGAGGCUCAGGCAGGAGAAUUGCUUGAACUCAGAAGGUGGAAGUUGCAGUGAGCUGAAAUUGUGCCACACUCCAGCAGCCUGGGUGACAGAGCGGACUCUGUCUCAAAAAAAAAGGAAGAGAGGGUUUCCAGACUUUGUACCACCUUCCUCCUCAUGUUUCUUUGCAGUGGGACAAAAGUUGGGGUUAGUGGGUAGCCUGAACUUAGAGCUGAGGAGGUGUCAUUUCUUCUCUUCCUAUGAAAACAAUUGAUGAGCAUCUGUUCUUGAAAGAGCCAUUUAAGAAAACAUCUUUCCAAAAUUGAUUAUGAAGUCUUGAAUCUCCAAUAAAUCUGAAAUUGCUGGUCUUUUGAUUCAGAGAAUUUGGAGGCAUUCUCAUUUUGUGAAGUCAUUCUUUCAAAAGGUAGACUUUGUUUAAGGAUAUGCAUGUUAUAGUAACCUUUCUUGGAACCUUUUUUUCUUUUUAACAUGGAGUCUCACUCUGUCGCCCAGGCUGGACUGCAGUGUCACAAUCUUGGCUCAUGAGAUGCCAGCCUGGAAGGAAAAGGGUCUUUGCACAUGUAAUUAAGGAUCUCAAGAUGAGGUCAUUCUGGAUUAUCUGAGAGAGGUUUACAUCCAAAGACAAGGGGUCCUUAUAAGAAGGAGGAAGACACAGAAGAGGAGAAGUUCAUGUGAAGACAGAAACAGAGUGGAGUAAUACAUCUACAAGCCAAGAACUGUGCCAAGGGUUGUUGGCAGCCACGAGAAGCCAAGGAAGAGGGGCAUGGAACAGAUUUUCUCUGAGAGCCUCCCAGAGGAACCAGUACUGCAGACACCUUGAUUUUGAGUUUCUAGCCUCCAAAACUGAGAAAGAAUAAAUUUCAGUUGUUUGAGGGUAACAGGUUUGUGGUAAUUUGUUACAGCAAUGAGUACAGCAACUUUUUGAUAAUGUUUACAUAAUUUGGGGGGACAGAUGGGGGUUAAUAGGUGGCAGAAAUUUGGGGUGGGAGCAAGAUGAACUUGGUAAUUUGGAUAUUUUCUGUGUCUUGAUCAUGAAAAGUUUUGUGUUACAACUACCAGAAGGCACAGAGCAAUGUUUGUUUUGAUUAGAUGAAAACAGAUUAUAGAUAAAAGGCUUUUCCAUAUUCUUCUGUAAACACACAGUGUCAUACCAUAUGAGGUCUAGAAACUAGAAUUUUUUUCCAAUAUACUUAAGUUCUUUAGGGUCCUCUUCAAUAGUGGAUGUAUUAAUUAGAAUCUGCAUUUUUUUUUUGUAGAUUUGUUGGAAUUUGGACUAUAUAUUCUGAUGAAUAGAAUUAUUUUUCUAGUUUUCAUUAAAUAAAUUUGUCAUAAAAGAAUACUUUGACAUUUUCCCAUGUACUUAUACAGGUUGGUUGUCUUUUUCUUUUUCCUUUUCUUUUCUCACUUUCUUUCUUUCUUUCUUUCUUUUUUUUUUUUUUUUUUUAAAGGAGACAGGGGUCUUGCUCGGUCACCCAGGCUGGAGUAGAGUGAUGUAACGAUAGCUCACUGCAGCCUCAAACUCCUGGGCUCGAGAUCCUCCCACCUCAGCCUCUGGAGUAGCUGGGACUAUAGGUGCACACCACUGCACUUGGCUAAUUUUCUUUUCUUUUUGUAGAGACAGGUUCUCACUGUGUUGCCCAGGAUGGCCUUGAACUUCUGGCCUCAAACUUCUGGCCUCAAGCAAUCCUCCUGCCUUGGCCUCCCAAAGUUUUGGGAUUACAGGUGUGAGCCACUGCCCUGACCUCUUUUUUCCUAAGUGAGUUUGAGGAAUAUAUAUUUUGGUUCCUCUUUUAAUACCAUGAAACUUUCAGGUUCAUAGCUCAUAAAAUGUUACGUAGCAUUGAAUUUUUUUAAUAAAAAUGAAAAUCAGACUCAUUUUCAUUAUUAAUAAAAAUUUCAGUGAGGCUACAUAACAUGAGGCUACAUAUUCACAUUUAGAUAAGAGAUCCACAGAAUUUUUGGUCUACUUUUAAGUUAAUAUUAUAGUUCUUAAAGUGCCCUGGGUGAAGACUAUUUUUUUGAAACAGAAGAGAUUUUUUUAAAAAAAAAUAGGCUUUUGUGUUUAUUACCUAAAGAAGCUAUUCUGAAAUUUUUAUGUAGAAAAUCCUCUUCUGCUCUAGCUACAGAAGAUUUUUUUUCAUAGAUAUUUUUGUCAUCUCUUUUGUCCUCUUUCCUUUGUUAUAAAUGAUAAGAAAAGACUGCUUUUUUCAAAAACUGUGUUUUUCUAUUGGUGAAUUUUGCCAUGCCUAAAGUGAUCUCUGAGAUAUCAUCCUUUUGGCUAUAAAUGUUUCUGUUAACUGUUAUAAAGAGCUUUCUAUAAUAGACACAGUAGAAUGUACUUAAUUUUUUUCUCCCUUCUUGGUAAAUCUCUUUUGGUUGAAAGAAAAUGUGUCACUUGCCUCCUAUUAUAGAAGCUUGUAUGAACAGCCAUGGGUGUAAUCUCCAGGGAAGGCUUGUUGGCCAUUGCCAGUGAGCCUGGCUCCACUGUUAGCUGCCUCAGCUCUUCCUCUUUUCCAGAUGAGCUGAUGCUGACAGCUGAAAGAUAGAAAAUAAGUGGGGAGAAUUCAAAUAUGGGGAAAGUAUUGUGGGAAAAUAGAUACUUAGUUUUCUUUUUAAUAUUAUGGAGAAAGCAAAUAUCUUUGGGUAAAAUACAUUAAUUGUAGUCACUCUAGGAAAUAGAUGUUUAAAAUCUGACAAAUAACGUUCCCCUAAGUUUUUACAGGUCUGUGGUUUCAUAUCGGGUGACAUUUGUUAAGUUAAUCCAAAUGAAAUUGUACCUCCUUAUUUGAAUUUACUGUACAUUUGAUAAAAACAAGAGAGUUAACAUGAUGCUAUUGAUUGUCAUAUCAUCACUUCUGUCCUUUUGUGAUAGCAGUUUACAGGAAAGCAAUUUGUCAAAAAAUAGUAUUUUGUUUUGUUUUCUUUACUGGAAGCAUGGACCUGCAUGGUAAUAUGUUGAUUUUUAAGGUAUAUUUUAUAAAUUAAAAAAAUUCUAUUAUAAAAUAAUUAUUUUGAAUAGAUGGUAAUAUUUCUAAUGAACAAUAUUAAUGUUCCAUUGCAAUCAUGUGGUUUUUAAAUUAGAAGGCUCAAUUUCAGUUUUUAUUAGAAAGAAUAUUGUUUAGUAUCAAAUGACUAUUAAAAGUAUAUAAUGCAAUAAAAGGAAAGAUGUGAAGGAAUGUAGAAACAUUAAAGCAAAAUCAAACCUCCUUAAAUAGUUAUAUCAGAUGUAAUUAAAAUAUGGGAUGUAAUUGACUAUCAAAUACUUGAACCAGUGCUUUUAUUUGUAAUAUAUAUGUGUAUAUAUGUUUUUGAUUACAGAUAUUAAGCACAAAAUGAAAUACUAUUGAUUUGAAGCACUAGCCAAUUGAAAAAUAAUUAAAAUGGUUACCCAGAACUUAGCUGCAAUUUUACUGGGGAUUUUUGUACAAUGUAUAGCCCUAGUUUCAUCUCCAAUAUUCUCACCUUUAAGAAAGCAUUUACAUUUCCUGUCCUCUCCCAACUGGGAGAAUAUGCAAAUAUUAUAAAAUAAAAUUCUCUUUUAUAAAUAGUUUUUAAAAUAGUACUUUCCUUUAAUGCAUUUACAAGGAUGAAAUACAAGUUCAGAGGAUUAAGAUCCUUUUAUCUGACAGUAUAGAAAAUCUUAAACUUACAGAGAAAAUAGUGGUAGAUUUUCUAAUUCCUGGUCUUUGUUCUUACCUCUUCUACUGGAGGUUUUGGGGUCUGUGUCAGGAAACCUUAUUAUAACUAAGGUAAUUUGUUAAGGCUUCUUGCUUGGGUGUACACCACUGGGAUUGAGAUGCUUUGUAUUUCCACUGCUCUGUGAAUUCAUUUUUUAUUUCCCCAGCUUUUGAGGAGAGGCAUAUUCAAAUAGGAAAUUUGAAAGGCAGUAAAGCACAUAUUUUUAUACCCUUCACCAAGACCUAUUCUAUUUUCUUUCUCCUUCCAUUCCCCAAAUCCUUCUUUCUCAUAGAAACAUUUCAAAAUAUAGAUGGGCCUUUAAAUAUUUCUGCAUAUAUUUUCUAAGAAUCUAGAAUUUUCUCUUACAUAACCAGCACUACUAUCACAAGCAAGAAUAUUAACAGUAAUUUAGUAAGUAAUAUCAUUUAAAAUAUGAUUCAUAAUUGGAUUUCUCCAGUUGUAUAGCUGUCAUUUUGUGUUUUGUUUUUCCAGGUCAAGAUCCAUUUUUCAUUUGGUUAAAUCUGUGGUUUUUUUCAAAUCUAGAAGAGUACUCCAUUCAUGUUUUUUUUUUUCUAUAACACUUAUUUCUUUUGUUGAUAGCCUUUAUUUUUUAACUUUUCAUUUUGCAUUUUCAUUGCAAUUUCAGACUUACAGAAUAGUUACAAAGAUAGUAUAAAUCAUUCUUAUGUAUGCUUUGCCCAGCUUCCUCAAAUAUUAACAUGUUAUAUAACUAUACCACAAUUAUCAAAAUUAGACAGUUAACACUGAUAUGUUAUUACUAACUAAUCUGUAGACCUUAUUCAAAUGCUGUCACUUUUCUCACAAGUGUCCUUUUUCUGGUCCCAAACCUAGUUUAGGACCCCAUGUUGCAUUUAGUUUCUGUGUCUCCUUUGUCUCUUAUGAUCUGAGAGAGUUGCUCAAUGUACACAUUUGUAUUUAAUCACCUUGACAAUUUUGAAGAAUGUCAGUCUGUAAUUUUACGGAAUGUCUUUUUUUGGGGGGUUGACUAAUGUUUCCUGAUGAAUAAAUGAAGAUUAUUCAUUUUGGGCA